CCCGCUGCGCAUCCGUUCUGCGCAUAGAUCAACUUGAAAAAGUUCACCCAACUUUUUCAAGUGUAUCGAAUUUCAAUAUGGCGUCUGACCAGGGCGCCAUGCACGGAGGUUCAAGGAAAAAUGCUGGUCGAAAAAAGGUGUUUUCGAGCCGAAAAGAAUACAGAAAGUUAUGGGAGAAAGAUCACAAAAGGAUAUAUUUAAGUGCUAAGAUCUUUGAUACGUGGCAAGAGGCCAAAACAACGGCUGGAUACGAGUGUUCGAGUGACACUGACUUUGCUGCACAUCUGUUGUCAUUGGAAUUCCGCCGCAGGUAGGUUUACAAUAUGAUUUUCAAUAUAUUUUUGAAGAAUAAACGAAACUAAUCUACAGCUUAUUUUGCUUGUGUAUUUAAGGGAAUCAGCGUCUGCAAAUGUACUGCCAAAACGACGACGAAAUUCAAACAAAUCGAUUCUGGUGGCAACUGAGUCUUCGACUACGGAAGUACAACAAAAUGCCAAUGAUUCUCAAAUGCUUGAACAACAUG